CCCUUAGAUGUUCUGGGCCGCACGCGCGCUACACUGACGAAUGCAACGAGCUUAUAACCUUGGCCGAAAGGUCUGGGUAAUCUCCAAAUUUCGUCGUGAUGGGGAUAGAUUAUUGCAAUUAUUAAUCUUCAACGAGGAAUGCCUAGUAAGCGCAAGUCAUCAGCUUGCGUUGAUUACGUCCCUGCCCUUUGUACACACCGCCCGUCGCUCCUACCGAUUGAAUGGUCCGGUGAAGCGUCCGGACCGUGGCCUUUGGACGGUUCGCCGUCUGUUGGCUGCGGGAAGUUCGUUAAACCUUAUCAUUUAGAGGAAGGAGAAGUCGUAACA
rnacentral:rRNA from 1 species